CCGGCCGAGGGAGCAGCGCCGGGAAGGGGCCGGGACAGCCAUCCCCAGCGGGACGGGAACGCGGUGAGAGGGGAACGGGACGGGCGGAGAGGGGACAACCGAGCCCCGAGCGCGGCUCCCGAGGCGGCCCCGGCAGCGCCAGGCCUCCAAACUGAGCUGAACUUCUGGAAAGCAAGAAAAGACAAUAUUUUAUUUAAAAAUAAACAGGUAGAAAUUUCACAUUUCCAUGGCCUGGGCAUCUGUGGUGAUUCCUGCUUCUCCUUGGUCUGGUUGACAUCACUGAGAGGAGCUACAGACAUUCUAGAAAGGUGUUGAGCAGCCAUGGCUACCAGAAGUGGAAUGGAAACCAUCACAGCCACUUGGCAAAUCAAAAGUUUGAGAUGCUGGAAAAAGAAAUGUUUCUAAUGCAGAAAUCUAUCUACAGCACUAUUUGAAGUAUCUAUUCCAGGCUACAAGCACAUGAAAUAAUGCUGAAAAGAAGUGCAGUUGCUCAAGAAAGUAUGGGAUAUUCAUGUUUAUAUUAAUGGCAGCAUUGAUGAUUGCACUAAAACCCAGUGGAGAGAGAUUAAUGUGGAACAGAUGGAUGUGCAGCUCAGAAGGUUU